rnacentral:rRNA from 1 species
AUACGUAGGGGGCGAGCGUUGUCCGGAAUUACUGGGCGUAAAGAGCUCGUAGGUGGUUUGUCGCGUCGUCUGUGAAAUUCCGGGGCUUAACUCCGGGCGUGCAGGCGAUACGGGCAUAACUUGAGUACUGUAGGGGAGACUGGAAUUCCUGGUGUAGCGGUGAAAUGCGCAGAUAUCAGGAGGAACACCGGUGGCGAAGGCGGGUCUCUGGGCAGUAACGGACGCUGAGGAGCGAAAGCAUGGGGAGCGAACAGGAUUAGAUACCCUGGUAGUCCAUGCCGUAAACGGUGGGCGCUAGGUGUAGGGGUCUUCCACGACUUCUGUGCCGUAGCUAACGCAUUAAGCGCCCCGCCUGGGGAGUACGGCCGCAAGGCUAAAACUCAAAGGAAUUGACGGGG